rnacentral:tRNA from 1 species
UGGGGUGUAGCUCAGUGAUAGAGUGCUUGCCUAUCAUGUGUUAGGCCCUAGGUUCAGAUCCCUGGCACCACAA